UACGGGGGGGGCAAGCGUUGUUCGGAAUUACUGGGCGUAAAGGGCUCGUAGGCGGCCAACUAAGUCAGACGUGAAAUCCCUCGGCUUAACCGGGGAACUGCGUCUGAUACUGGAUGGCUUGAGUUUGGGAGAGGGAUGCGGAAUUCCAGGUGUAGCGGUGAAAUGCGUAGAUAUCUGGAGGAACACCAAUUGCGAAGGCAGCUCGCUGGGACGUUACUGACGCUGAGACGCGAAAGCGUGGGGAGCAAACAGG
rnacentral:rRNA from 1 species